GAAUUGUGAUUCACAGGAGGAAGCCAGGAAACUCAUUAAGAUGUUGAAGUGGUCCAAACAGGAGGAUGAGUGCCUUGAACUAGAAGCUUCAGAAUACGGAUGAAAAUAUUAGGUGAGCCCCUGGAAGCUGAACUUGGCACGCGUGUGUUAUCAGAGAAUCCUCCACAUGUGGAUUGCGUGGAGUUGAAGAGCUUUGAAGAUUUUAAGUCUCUGAGCAAUCCAAAUCCUUUCGAAGUUGAAGAAUAUCUUUUUCUCGACAAACAGAAGCAUCCUUUUUAUGUUAAUACAGUCAUGCUAAGAAACAAUGACAGAAUAGUUGGUAUGGGAGUAAUGCCCUGAAAGAGAUGAGUCACUGUCUGAGGCAGAAACCGGAAAGCGUAAAGCUCCCUGUGGGGAAUACAACAAAGACGUGGGAACCAUCAUAGGACGAUCGACGUUGCCUCUGCCAUCACCUGGGUUUGUGAAUGGCUUCAUCAGCACUUCAUGCUAACACUAUUAAAUAUGAAGUGUCAAGCUCGGCACUCACAGAAGGUGACCUGGACUAGAGCCAGGCCCCCAGCUGAGCCUGUGAUGAGCAUCCAGGAGCUGCUCAAAUGAGGGAUCAAUGACUUGCAAGUUUACCAGGCAGAAUAAUGAAUAGAAGUGGGACAACUGCAAGCAAAAUUGGCAUGAGAAAUGAGGGUACUGAGAGAGUGGCCAAGAGUAGGGCACAGCUGCAGAAAGUUGAGGAACUAGCCCGCUAGAAUCUGACCUGGGAGGUACAAACACAGUGCGGAAAACUUGGUAGUCCUAUGAGGAUUUCGGGGGCAGAGAAAAUACUCUGUAUGAUACCAUAAAGAUGAAUACAUGUCUUUAAACGUUUGUCCAAACCCAUAGAAUGUACAACACCUCUCUGGCGGGGCAUGUUGAUAAUGGGGGAGAUUAUGUUUGUGACGGGCCAGGAAAUCUCUGCACUUUUCCCUCAAUUUUGCUGUGAACCUAAAAUUGCUCUAAAAAUAAAUGAAGUCAAUAAAAAAAUGUUUUUGUAAGGAAUAAAGACACUAAGAUGUUUAUAUGAGCGAUCAUUUUGGUUAGUUUCAAUACAAUGCUAUCUAAAAGAUAUGGCUAGUUGUAUACUUGCAUCUUCUGCUAAAAUGAUAUUUGAACACCUCCAAGGCUAUAAGCUUGCAUGACCAGGAUGAGAAUAGAGCCUAUUGAGAAGCACAAGGAAGAUGAGUUGGAAGGUGAACUGGAAGAUGAGUUG
rnacentral:lncRNA from 1 species